rnacentral:tRNA from 1 species
UCACUGGUGGCUCAAAGGGUAAAGCGUCUGCCUGCAGUGCAGGAGACCUGGGUUCAAUCCCCGGGUUGGGAA